UUAUGAAUUGCUUCGCCCAAUGCAGCUGGAUACGACCGCAGAGGUCCAACCCUGAACCGUUUGGACAAAAAUGGACACUAUUCACGCGUGAUAUUUGAAUGUCUGAAUUUGGAUUGAAUAGUUGGGGCAAGUAUGGACACAACAUUUAAGCUUGAUACAGCUCUGAAUUUGGAUUGUGAUUAAAUAGUUGACACAUAAUAGGUUUCUGACACAGAAUAACUGUAGUCAAAGAACUUAAAAUUGGUUAUAUAAUUUGAUUUUAUACUUAUUUUUUUGCUUUUGCACUACGCUGUUGCGAAUUGCCCUCCCCCCCCCCCCCCUUUCCAAAAAUUAAAAAAAACAAAAACCUUUUUUGGUUGACUUUGUGCAAUACACUAUGCUGUUGCAUAUUGACCCCAACCUGAAAAAGAAAAGAAAAAUGCAUCCCCCUCUUUUUUUUAAAUUUCUGAUAUGAGAAAAAAAAUUCUUUACACAUCAUUUUAAAGCAGUGUAAGGGAGGUAAUCAAACAUGUUUGGAUUACCUUAAUAUAUUUGGAUUACUUUCCUCACACUGGUUUCAAAUUGUCUUAAUUGGCAAUUAACCAAGAAA
rnacentral:lncRNA from 1 species